UACGUAGGGGGCAAGCGUUGUCCGGAUUUAUUGGGCGUAAAGAGCGUGUAGGCGGCUUGGUAGGUCUGCUGUGAAAACUCGAGGCUCAACCUCGAGCUGUCGGCGGAAACCACUUGGCUAGAGUCCGGAAGAGGAGAGUGGAAUUCCUGGUGUAGCGGUGAAAUGCGCAGAUAUCAGGAAGAACACCCGUGGCUAAGGCGGCUCUCUAGUACGGUACUGACGCUGAGACGCGAAAGCGUGGGGAGCGAACAGG
rnacentral:rRNA from 1 species